ACAAUACAAUAAUCUGAGAAGUUGAACAAUACAGUCAUAUACUUCAUAGCAAAGCCAUUUGGUGAGGUUUUCUGUGUUAGUAUGAAAGGCUAAUAAGACACUGAGAAUUUUUUCUGGGGGAACUUCUGAGCCACACUGCUCAUUCUUUAUAUGAAAAAGAUUUGUUAAAGAGGUGUGCUUUAAAUGUGGGCAGGAGAGGUAAGGCAUUGUGUGCAUUUCGGCUCAUUUUGCUCAAGCUUUAACUGUCAUAGCACCAAGAUCCCUAGGGUUUCUUAACAUCUUUUGAGUCUUGAUGCGAAAUGAAAGUAUAUAAGGGAUUUCCUAUGACCACAAGCACCCCCAAGAGCAAGAGCCCUUCAGCUGCUUGUUUAACAAAUGUCAGCAGCUUUCCAAUCAUGGGUGACCAGGUGGUUCUUCAAGUAAGUUUGUUUGUGGGACUCUCAUACCACAGAUGAAGUGCUUUUUAUGAAUGAGACAGCCUUGGUAAAUAGGUAUUUUGUAUCAAGAUGCCAAAAUGUGGCAAAUUAUCUUCAAAUAGUAACUGCAGAUGGGCAGUUUUGGUAUUUCACCUCUUUUCUAGAACAGCUGACUUUUCAUUUCUCUUUCAUUUUGAACUAGGAAGACUGUUGAGGAUGUGGUGGGCUUCCCUGUGUCAAGUGGAAGGGAGCCGCAGAGUAGCAUCCCCUCAUUCUGAUGGACCCGUCCUGUGUCCUCGGGACCCACCUGAGGGUGUGGACGUUUUCUCCACAUUCCACACAGAUGCCUACAAGCAGCCAGCUGGGGUGUGAGCUUUCCUCCUCCUCAUUCUUUAAAACUUCUCCCCUCCCUCUCCAAAAAAAAAAAAAAAAAAGGAAGAAAGGCUCAAUUAUACUUUUUCUGGAAAAUACAAGUCCUCUCCUCAAGUCUUCAAACAAACCUUUCCUGGAAAUUAGUAUCUAAUAUUUUAUAUGAAGAAUAAUGUAUGUUUAUACAGUAUUUAUUAGGUAGUCAUAACUGUAAACUCACCUACAUAGAAAAGUUUCAGAUUAAAUAUUGGGACAUGUACAGGAAUCAAAAAUAUUACUUUGAAGGUCAUUUGCCUAUUUUAAAGCCAUGUUUUAGCACCUUUUAGGCGAGGUGAAGUCUGAUAGUGCCUAUUCCUGUCAUCUGUACUCUCACAAAGUUAUUGAAAAUUAUUGCAUGCAGGAGAGAUCCAAGUGUUUAUUUCCUAUAUUUUUAUAAGUGGAAAAAUCUCUCUGACCAACAAAUGAUUAAAGUUGUUACCGAUUAUUCUCUUAAUUUAUCAUCCUAACAGAAUGGCAACAAAGCUUUUUUCAGCCAAUUACAUGCACUUAGCUAAUAAACCAAAAUUUACUCUUUAAAAAAAAUGUAAGCUGUGUGGAAUCUGGACAAGACUACAUUUCACUGUAAUGAAAUGGUUUUGAUGGAUAAAAGUGUGUCCACUUUUGCGAAAAGGUUAUAAUGGAUUGUUUUUAAUUUUGAGAGAACCUCCAGUCUUCUUGUUUAAUUUAUAUCCAUAUUUUUAAAUUCAAAUUAUCUUGUAAGCUGCUAUGCAAAAUCUAUUAAAAGCCCUACCUACUUAAAAAGUUAUAAACAUUUUUGAAGUUUUCAGGGAAGACCUGUAGACUUAAGCACUUUCUCUGCUUUUUUUUUUUUUUUUGCUUAUAUCUUAGACACGCUGAAUUAUGUUCUUAUUAUUUUCACUGGUUAUAAGCUAUUGAUUGUACAUAAUAUUUAAACCAUCCAAAUAGCCAGCAUACAUUUCCGUGUCACCGCCAUCCACUAUUGAUGCCGUGAAUGAAAUGGCUGGUUAGAAAGCCAAAGGUCAUUAUUUUUUUCCCCCAAUAUCCAAUGAAGAAGUAAAAUGCCAGAUCUCUUUCGUCUCAAAGCACACUGAGAUCUGCAUAUCUGUGUAAGGAAGAGAGACUGAUCUGGGAUUCUGCUUAAACUUUAAGUUGUGUUUGAUUAUAGUCAUAUUCAUUUGUUUUACUGAUGUCUAUCAGAUAUAUUACAUGCCAAGUGGUACUACAUCCUAUUGGAAAUAUCUUUCAUUUAAAUUUGAAUUCUUAUUAUGGCUUUUUUUUUCUCCAUUAGAUCAAAGUAGAGGAGUCUGCCAUUUUCUACCAUUCUAUGUUCCUAUUUUAAUUACUUGGUGAUCUAGAAUUAUUUUGUUAUGCAUACUGUCUUUAAAAACUGACAGCAGCAGUCUUCCCACCCGCGCCCACCUUUUUAAGCUCUAUGUUUCACUGUGCUGGGCAUGGAGACACUCAUUAAAUGUGUGAUGACAGACAAUUCUAAAAUAAUUAUGCUGUAUAUCAGGAUUAUGUGUUUUUGAGCAGUAUAGCUACUUCUAUGGUAUAAUGAUAUUAAGUGAAAUUUAUUUUACACUAGUAAUAGACUACAUAGGUGGUUGAUUUGAAACCCUUUCCCUAAAGCACACACACACAAACAUACUUCUAGCAGAUCAGUAAUUUCCAGUUAAGGUACAAUUAAUAGACACAUAGAACACAUCUGUCUCUUUAACACUAGCUAAACUGCCAACUGGAAGAAUGGUUGUUAUGUAUUAACUUUAAAAAAUAUCUUAACAAGAUGUCUUCUUUUAUAAACUUGAGCUGAAUUUCUUGUCACCUCUGUUCUUACUUUCCACUUUAGCUGACUGAACCAAAGCUUAUUCUGGUUUUAAAAGUAAAUCUACCCUUGAUGUAAUGCAUAAAUAUACCAUUUAUUGCUUGCUCUCCAAUGAACAUUUGAUUGUAUUCAACAAAAGUCUACCAUAUGACCUGUAAUAUUUGAAUUGCCACAAAAUAGAUUGGUUGAAACUAAAAAGAUGUAACAGAGAAAUGAUACUUCAUUUUAUUGUAAAAUUAGGUAUUCUGGUAUAUUUCUAACGUCUGAGUCCUGGAAGUACUUUGCUCAGUUUAAUAAUAAUCUUACCUCCAUGCCAUUGAUACAAAUGCAGAAGUUUUGAGUCCCUCUUUAGCCUAGUCCCAUAUAGACCCUUGGAGCCUGAUUAUCACCUCUUCCAAGGUGACAGCAGUCCCUAAUGAGUAGACAAAAGGUUCUUUGGGGCCCUAGAGAAAUUUUUGAAAUGACAAGUCUAGUUAAUUAUAUAUUAAUUCAUGGAUUCUUUCAUCUAAUAAGCAUUUAUUCAUGUGCAGUUCUUCACAGGCACUCUGAAGGGUCCAAAAGAAAAUUCCUGCCCUCAAGCAACACCUCAUCCAUUAUUUCUCAGUCAUACCAUGCCAUCUAUUCAUCAACCACCUCAUAUUUUUACCAAAGUAAACCUCCAGUUCUGCUCACCUGGCAAACUGGAAAGUGUUUAAAAGGAUGCUCAGUCAUUGGUCCAUGCCAGCAUGAAAGAACUCCAAGCACACUUAAGAAGGUUGGAAGAAGUGCUUUCCUUUUAUCUCAGUCCUGUUCAGGUGGGUGUCAGUUACAUUUUCUCACCUCUUGUUUUGUGAAUUAAUAGAAGUUAGAGGAAAAAUGACUUAAACUACAAGUUUGGGGUUUGGCACAGUCAUCAAUCUUGAUGACACUCUUCAUACUUUAACCAAAUCUUCUCUAUCAAAAGAACCAAUUUCCAAUUGUUUUUCUCUUGUUUGGACUCCAGUGUUAUGUUUUACAGUCUGGGUAACACUGUAACACUGAUGGGUUCGGCAUGAUAUGACCUGGGUACCCAAAGAAUCUGUUUCCUUUGUGGUACCAGACCCAAGGUCUUUUAGAAACUAAUGUGGCAAAACACCACCUAUAAAGGCCUGUUUUGGCUGAUCUGUGCAAACUCUGAUUAUACCCUCUUGUAUGUAUUUUGUCCCACACAACUCUUGUUUUUUAAGUAUUAAGACGUAAAAAGCUAAGAUAACACUUCUACAAGGAGUUAAAAGUAUGUGAUAUUCUGAUUUUUUCCUUCCUUUUGGAAUCCUGUAUUUAAACAAGACGUCUUUUUAAGUAUUGUUUAAAAUUUAGGUCUCAAGUCUUCUGGCAUUACCAGACUACCAAAUCAAAACCCAUGGUGUAAAACAGGGCAGUAUUUGUGUUCUUAAUAAUGAAAAAGCUUUAUGUGUACUCUGUAAGUAUAACGCAUAGACAACACUUUCCCUUGAGUUGCACAUCAACAUAGAGCAUUGUACAUUACAAUGAAGUUUGUAACUUAAGGGUAUUAUAUAUAUAAAUACAUAUAUACCUUUGUAACCUUUAUACUGUAAAUAAAAGAAUUGCUUUUAGACUUGUUUUUUCACACUUUCUAACAUUAAAAUCGU
ensembl:lncRNA